GAUGAACGCUAGCGGCAGGCUUAACACAUGCAAGUCGAGGGGCAGCGAGAGAGUAGCAAUACUUUUGUCGGCGACCGGCGCAAGGGGUGCGUAACGCGUGAGCAACAUGCCCGGUAACAGGCGUAUAGACCGUGGAAACGCGGCGUAAACCGCCAUAAGUUGGGAGUAGGCAUCUAUUUCAAAUGAAAUCUUACGGAGUUACGGAUUGGCUCGCGAGACAUUAGCC
rnacentral:rRNA from 1 species